rnacentral:rRNA from 1 species
GAAUUCAACUCCUACGGGAGGCAGCAGUGGGGAAUUUUGGACAAUGGGGGCAACCCUGAUGCAGCAACGCCGCGUGAGUGAAGAAGUAUUUCGGUAUGUAAAGCUCUAUCAGCAGGAAAGAAAAUGACGGUACCUGACUAAGAAGCCCCGGCUAACUACGUGCCAGCAGCCGCGGUAAUACGUAGGGGGCAAGCGUUAUCCGGAUUUACUGGGUGUAAAGGGAGCGUAGACGGUUUUGCAAGUCUGAAGUGAAAGCCCGGGGCUUAACCCCGGGACUGCUUUGGAAACUGUAGGACUAGAGUGCAGGAGAGGUAAGUGGAAUUCCUAGUGUAGCGGUGAAAUGCGUAGAUAUUAGGAGGAACACCAGUGGCGAAGGCGGCUUACUGGACUGUAACUGACGUUGAGGCUCGAAAGCGUGGGGAGCAUACAGGAUUAGAAACCCCAGUAGUCCAGGCGUU